UACGUAGGGGGCAAGCGUUGUCCGGAAUCAUUGGGCGUAAAGCGCUUGUAGGCGGCCUGUCAAGUCGCGUGUGAAAUCCCCUGGCUUAACCAGGGAAGUGCGCGCGAAACUGGCGGGCUUGAGUGCCGGAGAGGGUCGCGGAAUUCCCGGUGUAGAGGUGAAAUUCGUAGAUAUCGGGAGGAACACCAGUGGCGAAGGCGGCGACCUGGACGGACACUGACGCUGAGACGCGAAAGCGUGGGGAGCAAAACAGG
rnacentral:rRNA from 1 species